GGUCUUGUGGUCUAGUGGUAUGAUUCUCGCUUAGGGUCCACCCUAAAGCAAUUGUGUGCGAGAGGCCCCGCGUUCGAGUCGCGGCAAGACCC